rnacentral:rRNA from 1 species
UUGUAGCCUGCUAUGGUAUAACUUAGUGGCAGACGGGAGAGUAAUGUAUAGGAAUCUACCUAGUAGUACGGAAUAAUUUGUUGGAAACGGCAACUAAUACCGUAUACGCCCUACGGGGGAAAAAUUUAUUGCUAUUAGAUGAGCCUAUAUUAGAUUAGCUAGUUGGUGGAGUAAUAGCCUACCAAGGCAAUGAUCUAUAGCUGAUCUGAGAGGAUGAUCAGCCACACUGGAACUGAGAUACGGUCCAGACUUCUACGGGAGGCAGCAGUGGGGAAUAUUGGACAAUGGGCGAAAGCCUGAUCCAGCCAUGUCGCAUGAGUGAAGAAGGCCUUUGGGUUGUAAAGCUCUUUUAGUGAGGAAGAUAAUGACGGUACUCACAGAAGAAGUCCUGGCUAACUCCGUGCCAGCAGCCGCGGUAAUACGGAGAGGGCUAGCGUUAUUCGGAAUUAUUGGGCGUAAAGGGCGCGUAGGCUGAUUAAUAAGUUAAAAGUGAAAUCCCAAGGCUUAACCUUGGAAUUGCUUUUAAAACUAUUAAUCUAGAGAUUGAAAGAGGAUAGAGGAAUUCCUGAUGUAGAGGUAAAAUUCGUAAAUAUUAGGAGGGACACCAGUGGCGAAGGCGUCUAACUGGUUCAAAUCUGACGCUGAGGCGCGAAGGCGUGGGGAGCAAACAGGAUUAGAUACCCUGGUAGUCCACGCUGUAAACGAUGAAUGUUAAAUAUGGGAAGUUUACUUUCUGUAUUACAGCUAACGCGUUAAACAUUCCGCCUGGGGACUACGGUCGCAAGAUUAAAACUCAAAGGAAUUGACGGGGACCCGCACAAGCGGUGGAGCAUGUGGUUUAAUUCGAUGCAACGCGAAAAACCUUACCACUUCUUGACAUGAAAAUCAUACCUAUU